UACAGAGGCGGCAAGCGUUGUUCGGAAUUACUGGGCGUAAAGGGCGCGUAGGCGGCCUUGUAAGUCCUGUGUGAAAUCCCCCGGCUCAACUGGGGAACUGCACAGGAGACUGCUUGGCUUGAGUUCGGGAGAGGGAAGCGGAAUUCCGGGUGUAGCGGUGAAAUGCGUAGAUAUCCGGAGGAACACCGGUGGCGAAGGCGGCUUCCUGGACCGACACUGACGCUGAGGCGCGAAAGCCAGGGGAGCAAACGGG
rnacentral:rRNA from 1 species